rnacentral:rRNA from 1 species
AACGCGAAGAACCUUACCAUCCCUUGACAUGUCGUGCCAUCCGGAGAGAUCCGGGGUUCCCUUCGGGGACGCGAACACAGGUGCUGCAUGGCUGUCGUCAGCUCGUGUCGUGAGAUGUUGGGUUAAGUCCCGCAACGAGCGCAACCCACGUCCUUAGUUGCCAUCAUUCAGUUGGGCACUCUAGGGAGACUGCCGGUGAUAAGCCGCGAGGAAGGUGUGGAUGACGUCAAGUCCUCAUGGCCCUUACGGGAUGGGCUACACACGUGCUACAAUGGCGGUGACAGUGGGACGCGAAACCGCGAGGUUGAGCAAAUCCCCAAAAACCGUCUCAGUUCAGAUUGCACUCUGCAACUCGAGUGCAUGAAGGCGGAAUCGCUAGUAAUCGUGGAUCAGCAUGCCACGGUGAAUACGUUCCCGGGUCUUGUACACACC